CCCUUAGAUGUUCUGGGCUGCACGCGCGCUACACUGAUGCAUUCAACGAGUUUAUAACCUUGUCCGACAGGAUUGGGUAAUCUUUUGAAAAUGCAUCGUGAUGGGGAUAGAUUAUUGUAAUUAUUAAUCUUCAACGAGGAAUUCCUAGUAAGUGCGAAUCAUCAGUUCGCACUGAUUACGUCCCUGCCCUUUGUACACACCGCCCGUCGCUCCUACCGAUUGGCUGAUCCGGUGAAUAAUUCGGACCGACGUCUUAAGUGGUUCGCCGCUUCUGAUGUUGGAAAGUCUAGUAAACCUUAUCAGCUAGAGGAAGGAGAAGUCGUAACA
rnacentral:rRNA from 1 species